CGGUGGAAUGCGCAGAUAUCAGGAGGAACACCGAUGGCGAAGGCAGGUCUCUGGGCUGUAACUGACGCUGAGGAGCGAAAGCAUGGGGAGCGAACAGGAUUAGAUACCCUGGUAGUCCAUGCCGUAACGUUGGGCACUAGGUGUGGGGACCAUUCCACGGUUUCCGCGCCGCAGCUAACGCAUUAAGUGCCCCGCCUGGGGAGUACGGCCGCAAGGCUAAAACUCAAAGGAAUUGACGGGGGCCCGCACAAGCGGCGGAGCAUGCGGAUUAAUUCGAUGCAACGCGAAGAACCUUACCAAGGCUUGACAUGUUCUCGAUCGCCGUAGAGAUACGGUUUCCCCUUUGGGGCGGGUUCACAGGUGGUGCAUGGUUGUCGUCAGCUCGUGUCGUGAGAUGUUGGGUUAGUCCCGCAACGAGCGCAACCCUCGUUCCAUGUUGCCAGCACGUCGUGGUGGGGACUCAUGGGAGACUGCCGGGGUCAACUCGGAGGAAGGUGAGGACGACGUCAAAUCAUCAUGCCCCUUAUGUCUUGGGCUUCACGCAUGCUACAAUGGCCGGUACAAUGGGUUGCGAUACUGUGAGGUGGAGCUAAUCCCAAAAAGCCGGUCUCAGUUCGGAUUGGGGUCUGCAACUCGACCCCAUGAAGUCGGAGUCGCUAGUAAUCGCAGAUCAGCAACGCUGCGGUGAAUACGUUCCCGGGCCUUGUACACACCGCCCGUCAAGUCACGAAAGUCGGUAACACCCGAAGCCGGUGGCCUAACCCUUGUGGGGGGAGCCGUCGAAGGUGGGACCAGCGGAUUGGGACUAAGUCGUAACAAGGUGAGCCGGUACCGGAAGGUGCGGCUGGAUCACCUC
rnacentral:rRNA from 1 species